AGUCACUGACAUUAGAUACCCCUGUAGUCCAGGGUGUAAACGCUGCAGACUUGGUGUUGGAAGUCCUUUGGGGGGCAUUCAGUGCCGGAGAGAAGUUGUUAAGUCUGCUACUUGGGGAGUACGUCCGCAAGGAUGAAACUUAAAGGAAUUGGCGGGGGAGCACCGCAACGGGAGGAGCGUGCGGUUUAAUUGGAUUCAACACCGUAAAACUCACCAGGGAAGACUGUUACAUGAAAGCCGAGAUGAAGACUCUGCUAGAUUUUCAG
rnacentral:rRNA from 1 species